AACGUAGGAGGCGAGCGUUAUCCGGAUUUACUGGGUGUAAAGCGCGAGCAGGCGGUCGGUCAAGUGGUAUGUGAAAGCUCUCGGCUCAACCGGGGGAGGCCAUGCCAAACUGACGGACUGGAGGUAGGUAGAGGCAGACGGAAUUCCGGGUGUAGUGGUGAAAUGCGUAGAGAUCCGGAGGAACACCAGUGGCGAAGGCGGUCUGCUGGGCCUGACCUGACGCUCAGACGCGAAAGCAUGGGGAGCGAACGGG
rnacentral:rRNA from 1 species